rnacentral:rRNA from 1 species
CCUACGGGAGGCAGCAGUGGGGAAUCUUGCGCAAUGGGCGGAAGCCUGACGCAGCAACGCCGCGUGCGGGAAGAAGGCCUUAGGGUCGUAAACCGCUUUCAGGGGGGACGAAGCUUCCGGGGUUAAUAGCCUACGGGGUGACAGUACUCCCAAAAGAAGGUCCGGCUAACUACGUGCCAGCAGCCGCGGUAAUACGUAGGGACCGAGCGUUGUCCGGAAUCAUUGGGCGUAAAGAGCGUGUAGGCGGCCUAGUAGGUCUCGUGUGAAAUCCCGUGGCUCAACCACGGACACGCACGGGAAACCCCUAGGCUCGAGUCCGGAAGAGGAGAGCGGAAUUCCUGGUGUAGCGGUGAAAUGCGCAGAUAUCAGGAAGAACACCCGUAGCGAAGGCGGCUCUCUGGGACGGUACUGACGCUGAGACGCGAAAGCGUGGGGAGCAAACAGGAUUAGAUACCCUGGUAGUCCACGCCGUAAACGAUGGAUGCUAGGUGUGGGAGGUGUCGACUCCUCCCGUGCCGAAGCUAACGCAUUAAGCAUCCCGCCUGGGGAGUACGGCCGCAAGGCUAAAACUCAAAGGAAUUGACGG